rnacentral:rRNA from 1 species
AUGUGGGGUGAUGAGCUCAAAGUCACUGUUCAUAGUGCUUCCUUCCACUAUAUAUUAGCUAAUGUAGUCCAUCUAGCUUCUGGGGUCCAAUUUUGCUUGAUUUGUAUGUAUGGUGACCCAUAUCAUAGGCAAACUAGUGCCAUUUGGAGUCAAAUUUCCAGUUUUGUGUAUGAUAAUCUGGGUAUGCCCAUGAUCUGUAUGGGAGAUCUCAAUGACAUCCUGUAUGAUGUGGAUGGAUGUAAUGGCACUGUGAAUUACUUCCGUAUGAAUGCUUUUCGUUCUCUUGUUUAA